rnacentral:lncRNA from 1 species
CAGCAAAUUAGACUUUUUGCCUACUUUGGUGCUGAGAAGCCCAAACUACCAACCAAAGCUUUGGUUUUCUCUGAGGGCUGUCGGUACAGACGAGAGGCCGGGAUUGUUCUCUAGCAACCCCUGCCGGUUGACAAUAAAUGCCAGAAACUGACCCAGAGGCAUUAGUUCAUCCCCACGUUGGAGGGAAGUAAAAAAUGUCAGGCUGAGGGAGAGCAGGUAGCACCUGAACGGGCUAAAACGUAGAUACGUCCGUGACCCAACUUCAACCAACCACGCAACGUCAAUGACCCAGGGGAUGCUGGAGCAACAGGAAGGAAGGAAUUGAUUGAACAAUCACGUGGAGCAAAGCCACGUUGUUAUUUAGGGCUACUACUUAAAUCAGAGAUCAUCUCUGUCUUCU